GCUGGCUUCGUCAGCACACGCACUGGACUUGGAGCGAGAUGGAGAAGAUUAGCAUGGCCCCGGAGCGAGAAUGGCAUGCAAAUUCACGAGGCCAAUUCUGUACCA